CACAAAUUCAUGGAAUCUUAGCACCUAAGUUUUUACUCAAUAUUUAUUUAUUUUUGGUUAAAAGCGAAAUGUAAAAAUCUCUACAACUUUUGUGAAAGUUCUUUGAACACUCUUCUCCUCCUUAUUGGCUUCAUUUACUUCGAUUGUCUUCAACAUUUCUCUAAAACUUUCAGCCUCUUCAACUUCCCUAUGGAUUAAUGGUACGAAGGGGAGAUUUGGAAUAUUGGAGGAUUUUUUAAGUUGAGUUUAGAGAUCAAUGGGUAGUAAAAGAUCUGGUAUAGAGUGGAAGAAUUUGAAGAUAUUUGUGGGGUUUUUGCUGAUCUGGGCAGCCAGGAUUUCGUUUGGACUCACCAAUCCUAGUGAUGUUGCUGCGAUUAAUAGCUUACAUACCGCAAUGGGCUCUCCCUUACUUCCUGGAUGGGUUGCUUCUGGCGGAGACCCCUGUGCUGAAGCAUGGCAAGGCGUACAAUGUAAUGGUUCGAACAUAAUGAGCAUAGUUCUAAAUGGUGCUAAUUUGGGUGGACAACUGGAUGACAACUUAGGAAUGUUUGCUUCUAUCAAGGCAAUAGAUCUAAGCAACAACCUGAUCGGGGGCAAUAUUCCAUCCAAUUUGCCUGUUACUAUGCAAAACUUUUUUCUUUCAGCCAAUCAGUUCAGUGGAAGCAUUCCAGAUUCACUAUCUUCUUUAACUCUGUUGACAGACAUGUCACUGAACAACAAUCUUUUGAGUGGAGAGAUACCAGAUGCCUUUCAAUCCCUUUCUGGCUUGAUCAAUCUGGAUUUGUCCAAUAACAAUUUGAGUGGGCAACUGCCUCCAUCUAUGGAAAAUUUGUCUCGUCUGACCACUCUACGUUUGCAGGUCAAUCAGCUGUCCGGGACACUAGAUGUUUUACAAGAUCUUUCCCUAAAAGAUUUGAACAUAGAAAAUAACCUUUUCUCUGGGCCCAUACCCGAGAAGAUGCUGAAUAUCCCAAGCUUCAGAAAAGAUGGAAACCCGUUUAAUUCAACCAUUGCUCCAUUGCCUGCUCCCACAUCACCAUUAGCACCAUCACAUUCACCGCCACGUUCUGAAACACCAACUUCUGAUCAAACACCUGGAAAACAUGCCAAUGGGCCUUCUGCGUCAGAGGGAUCUAAUUCGAGAGAGAAGAAGAAUUUCUUAACUACCAAAAGAGUGGUGUGGAUAUCAGUUGCGGGUGUUUUGUUUUUUAUAAUAUUGGCUUUAGGAGUUCCGUUUUUUAUGCCAAAGUGUAGCAGAGUAAGGGAAGAGGCGGGCAUAAUUUUCAAAAGGCAUCAAGUGGGUGCAUAUGGAGGCAACAGAGAGAAACUUGGUGAAGAUGGUCCCGUACCCACCACAACCAGUCAAACAGAGAAAGGCCCAAAAGAGGCAGUCACAAGACCAGUGGGAGGUAAUCAAACAGAGAGGGGAAGAAUGGGGGCGAUUGCAAAGCUGCAGAAUGAGAAAGAGAGAAAUGUGGAAAGGACAGCCACAACACCAAAGCGAUUUGACCAUGAGAUAGACAUGAGUAGAUUUGAUAUGACGUGGAUGGAGACCCCACCACUACCCCCUCCUCCUCCCCCUCCACCUCCUCCACCACUUUCUGAGAAGGUCAUUGUGAAACCAAUUGUGCCUGAUGAAGUAACUACCGCAAGGCCUUCUGCCAAAACUCCAAAGCCAUCUACAUUUGCAAAGUCUUUCACCAUUGCGGCCCUUCAACAAUAUACAAACAGCUUUUCUCAAGAAAAUCUUAUAGGGGGUGGCAUGCUAGGGAGUGUCUAUAGGGCAGAACUUCCGGAUGGGAAGCUACUUGCAGUCAAGAAACUGGACAAGAGAGUUGCCAGCCAGCAGAAGGAUGAUGAAUUUAUUGAGCUGAUAGAAAAUAUUGAUCGUAUCCAGCAUGUGAAUAUUGUCAGGCUGAUGGGUUACUGUGCAGAGCAUGGUCAAAAGCUUUUGAUCUAUGAGUAUUGCGGUAAUGGAUCACUGCAGGAUGUGCUCCACGCAGAUGAUGAAUUUCAGAAGAAGUUUGCAUGGAAUGCCCGUAUCCGGAUGGCACUUGCAGCUGCUAGAGCCUUAGAGUAUCUGCAUGGAGCCUGCCAGCCACCGGUUGUACACAGAAAUUUCAAGUCUGCCAAUGUUCUCCUUGAUGAUGAUCUCGAUGUGCGUGUCGCUGAUUGUGGUUUGGCUUCAUUAAUAGCAUCAGGUUCUGUAAGUCAGUUGUCAGGACAACUGCAAUCAAUUUAUGGUUACGGAGCUCCAGAAUUUGAGACCGGAAUUUACACUUCCCAGAGUGAUGUUUACAGCUUUGGAGUAUUUAUGUUGGAACUCUUAACUGCCAGGAAAUCUUAUGACAGGACAAGGAGUAGAGGGGAGCAAUUUCUAGUGAGAUGGGCAAUCCCUCAACUCCAUGACAUUGAAGCAUUAUCUAGGAUGGUUGACCCUUCUCUCAAUGGAGAAUAUCCUGCUAAGUCGUUGUCACGCUUUGUUGAUAUCAUUUCUCGGUGUCUUCAGUCUGAACCAGAAUUCCGGCCGCCAAUGUCUGAAGUUGUCCAAGAUCUAUUGGACAUUGUACGAAGAGAGCGUCCCAGUAAUGAAUCAAAUGGAGACUGACUUAUAGUAGGCAAUAAACCUGGUAAUGUCAGUUUAUGAAUUUAAGUCACAGAGAUUUGAUCCAACAGAUGUUGAUCUGAGAAAAUACAUCCGUUGUAAAGAGGCAGCAGACAAAAUGCUCCUACUAACACACCCAAGUUACAUCCCAAGCUCUUACACGAGGAGUUUUGAAGGUCAUCAACCGAGGACCCAGCAGUUAGGAAAGGAUCAGGGCAAUCAAAUUAUAGUGGAGGUGACUUUUAUACUACGAAUCCUGGUAGUGUCCCUCCUGCAACAUCAAGGCUUUCACC